rfam:Myotis brandtii contig275894, whole genome shotgun sequence.
GGUGGUUCUAAAGUGACUCACCCCUGAAUCAGGCUCCCUCCUCUCUGGUUCCGGGUGCGUCACCCAAGAACCGUA